GCCACUGCGCCCGGCUGAAAAGUGCCAUUAUUUUUUUUCAAGUGCAUUUUCAGAUGAUAUGAUUAUAUACAUGGGAAGUCAAGAGACUUACCUGACAGGCCUAAUAGAACCAAUGAGUUCAGCAAGAUGAACUUUGCUCCUACAAUCACUCUCUUACUUUCCUUAAUUAUUUCUUCUGCCCUACUAGAACAUUCUCUCUCUAGAUUGCUUAUCUUAAAAAAACAAAAACAAACCAAAAAACCCCUCCCUUUACCUCGCAUUUCUCUUCAUUUUUCUGCUCCCCUUUACGAUGAAACUCCCAAAGGAGCUCUGUGACCUAAUCUCGUCUCUGCGCCUGUACACUGGAUUCCCUCUGCCCUACACCACUUAAAGUGCUCAUCAGGGAUCCCAGUGCUGUCUCCGAUGCUGAAUCUAUUGGUUACACCUCUGUCCUCAACUUGAAGUAGCAUUCAAGGUCCAUCCAUGUUGCAGCAUGUAUCAAUGUUUCAUUAUUUUUAUAAGGAAGAAUACUAUUCAAUUGUAUGUGUAUACCACAGAUUGUUUACCUCACUUAUCCGUUGAUGGACAUUUGGAUUAUUUCCAUCUUUUGGCUGCUGUGGAUAGUGCUGCUGUGAACAUUCUCAUACAAGGAUUUGUUCAAGUUCCUCUUUUCAGUCUUUUGUGUGCAUACCUAGGAGUGGAAGUGCCAGGUCAUAUGUUAAUUCUGUGUUUAACUUUUUGAGGAACCAACAAAAUUUUUCCCACAGUGGCUGAGCCAUUUUAUCUUCCGACCAGCAAGAUAGGAUCCAAUUUCUCCCAGUUCUCACCAACACCUAUUCUUUUCCUAAGUUUACUUUAGAACAUGUGAAGAUGCCAAUGUAUCAUGUAUACAAGGUAAAUUAUUGGAUAUAAAGGUCUAGAGUUCAGAAGGGAGAUCUGAGUUUGAAACACACAUUUUGGAGUUGUUCGCAUAACAAGGGUACAGGAAAGGAGGUGCAAUUGACGAGGAAGAGGGUAUAGACUGGAAAGAGAAGAGGGCCCAAAUCCUCACCCAGCCAGAGGAACCCUGAAUACCUGGAGGGAAGAGAAAGAGGAACUCCUAAAUGAAGAUGGAAGAGGAUCAAUCCAAAGGUUCCACCAAAUGAGAAACUGAGAGGUUGGAAUGUGUCCCCUCUCAAAUAUGUUCUGCUGGAGAUCUGGGGAGUGCAGCGAGGUGUCCUUUACCAUCAGUGCAGUGAGCACUUUCAGUUUCUCAAAAGCCCCAUCUCCAGGUCAGAGAACUCCUUCACCAUAGGUUCCACAGAUUAAAAUGAUAGGACACACUUAAGGAGAAAGACCAUUUCCCAUCUAAAUACUGCCCAAAGUGUCUAGUUUCAGUGCCUCUCUGUGGUAGGCAAAAUAAUGGCAUCCCCAAAUUGUCCAUGUCCUAAUGUCUAGAAACCAUGACUAUGUUAUCUAACAUGAGAAGAGAUUUUGCAAAUGUGAUGAAUGGUUUUGAGAUGGGGGAUCAUCCCAGAUUAUCUGGGUAGGCAGAAUGGAAGCACAGGGUCUUUGUCACUGAAAGGAGACAAAGACUUAGAUUACAAGAUGCCACAUUGCUUGCUUUGAAGAUGGACAAAGGGGUCAUGAACCAAAGAAUGCAGUGACCUCUAGAAGCUGGAAAAAGCGAGGGGACAGAUUCUCCCCUGAAGCCUGCAGCAGGUACCCAGCCCUGAUGACAUCUUGAUUUGUAAGUGUCAACUACUAAGGCCUUUCCACCUCAGGGCCAGCAUCCAACCUAUUCUCUUGACCUCCUUGUGGAUGUGCUCAUUAAAUGAGUUGGUGCCAUCUCUCUUCUUCAUCAGGGGUGGUUUAAGCCCUCCUGUAGUCCCAACUUUAGGAAAGACAUCUUUUUUCUAUUUUUAAAUUUAUUUUUAUUUAUAAUUUUUGUGGGCAUGUAGUAGGUGUAUGUACUUAUGGGAUACAUGAGAUAUUUUGGUAGAGGCAUGCAAUGUGUAAUAAACACAUCAUUGAAAAUUGG
rnacentral:lncRNA from 1 species